rnacentral:lncRNA from 1 species
GGAUGCCUGCCAGACUCUGAAAACCAAGGUCCCUCCCCCAUGGCCUGGAGCUGUGUGUGCUGUAGGAACAGCCCCCAAGCAGCAGGGGGCAUGUUGGAAGGUCCAGCCAGCUUUGAGACUGUGCAGGUCCCCCUCCCUGCGUGAGGGCGGAGCUCCACCCCCUCCAGCCUCCUUCUCCUUUGAGGGGCGGAGCUCCACAGCCUCCAUCUUAUUCUUCUCCUCAUCACCAUGUAGAGCAGCACCGAAAGAUAGGGCUGGGCUCUGGGGUAGGCCCAAAAGCUCCUGCAUACCUACCUGGCCAUGAAGGGAGCUACCAGGUCUUACUGUACCUUCUCCCCAAACCCCUCAGCAGACAUUGUAAGCAACCAGCUCCCAACUUGAACCCAGGGGUGUAGGGGAGCAACGGCUGCCCCGCCAGCUAUAGGCCCAAGGGGGAGUCUGGCGCCAAGCCGCCGAAGCGGGCCCCCCAGGAACCUCAGAAGGCAUGCCGUCGGCCCAGACACACAAGGGACAAUGGCUGCUACCCGCAGAGACACUGAGCCCAGCCCUCACGUCCCCAUGAGUCGGCUUCAAAGUGGCUAAUGUUGGGACUGUUUGGUUCGCGCUCACGCUCAACACUGAGUGAAUGAACUGAGGUGGCAUACUGGGGGCUGUGCCCAGCCAGGACUGACCUCUUCAGGCCUCCGAUUCUGGCUCAGAGCAGCAGAGACCAAUUUCGUCAAGGCCUUCGUCUGGACAAGGGCUCACGCGACGCUACCCAGCCUGCGUGGCCCGCCCGGACCGUGAAGGGACAGUCCUCCCGGCUGCCUCUGGACACUACUCGGCCGCUAGGGUUCUCGCCACAGUCCUGCCCUCAACCAUAAUGAAUGGAGGAAUGAACACGGCCGAGGUCCUGGAUUCUCGCUCAGCCUCGUCUCUGCCAGUGUGUCCUGGGCCAGAGGCGGAGCCCCAGCCCCAUCCCCUUCAACCGGAGGGACCUCAGAAUUGUUGGUGUUUCCACGGGCCCCCUCCGGGACAAUGACUUUUGCUCAGCUGGUCCCCUGAAG